rnacentral:rRNA from 1 species
UACGAGGGGGGCGAGCGUCGUUCGGAAUUAUUGGGCGUAAAGGGUGCGUAGGCGGCCUGACAAGUCUGAUGUGAAAUCCCUGGGCUCAACCCAGGGCCUGCAUCGGAAACUGUCGGGCUUGAGUAUGGGAGAGGUGAGUGGAAUUUCCGGUGUAGCGGUGAAAUGCGUAGAUAUCGGAAGGAACACCUGUGGCGAAAGCGGCUCACUGGACCAUUACUGACGCUGAGGCACGAAAGCUAGGGGAGCAAACAGG